GGAAUUUUCGGCAAUGGACGGAAGUCUGACCGAGCAACGCCGCGUGAACGAAGAAGUAUUUCGGUAUGUAAAGUUCUUUUAUUAGGGACGAAAAGACAGAUUGACGGUACCUAAUGAAUAAGCUCCGGCUAACUACGUGCCAGCAGCCGCGGUAAUACGUAGGGAGCGAGCGUUAUCCGGAAUUAUUGGGCGUAAAGGGUGCGUAGACGGCAAUAAAAGUCUUUUGUUAAAGUGCUAAGCUCAACUUAGUGAUGCAAAAGAUACUGUAUAGCUAGAGUAUGGAAGAGGCAAGUGGAACUCCAUGUGUAGCGGUAAAAUGCGUAAAUAUAUGGAAGAACACCAGUGGCGAAGGCGGCUUGCUGGUCCGAUACUGACGUUGAGGCACGAAAGCGUGGGGAGCAAACA
rnacentral:rRNA from 1 species